AACUUGUUUCGUAUGACAAGCAAUGCUUGCCACACUCAUCAGGUGAAUUUAAAUGUUAAAUUAAUAUUAAUUGUUAACAUUUAAAUUCACCUGAUGAGUGUGGCAAGCAUUGCUUGUCAUACGAAACAAGUUUG
rnacentral:miRNA from 1 species